rnacentral:lncRNA from 1 species
CGGAAAGUUAAACAAGGAUCAUUUCCAGUUUCACCGCAUUAUCCUGGGACACUCUGCACAGAAUAUCUUCUUUAAUCAGGACAUAUUUAAUCAGCAGAUCUACCACUAACCACUGGCUAUUGUUCUCUCUGAUAGGAGUAUACUGAAGCAUGGAAAAACAGAAAUACAGACUUUAUUUACCUACUUUUGAAACUCCACAGCUCCUGAGUUAAC